CAUUUAUAGGUACAGGUAUUAUAGGCUAUCUAGAGGCGGAUUUCGGACGCACAGCUCGGGGAAAGUGAAUUUUUGCGGAGAGGGAGAACGCUGCUAUAUAUACAGAGCGAAAUUUCUUAAGCAGACAGUUCGAAGUUUUCAUUCUAGAAGCAACGACUUGGCUAGUCAGUGAUAUCCUAGUGCCUGCGUUAGUUUGAAUCUGUAGUGCAUCACAGUCAAGUUUUCCUUUCGUAAAAUGGAAUCUCCACGUGCGGAAUCUUACGCAUCUUCUGACACUGGUAGGACGAGAAUGAUUGAUGCAGAAGCUCGUCACACGGAUCUCGAUGGAAAUCUCAACGAAGUUACUGCAGACUUGACAGGGCUUGUGACGAU